rnacentral:rRNA from 1 species
GACAUUAGACGAAUCAUCUGGAAAGAUGAAUCAAAGAAGGUAAUAAUCCUGUAGUCGAAAAUGUUGUCUCUCUUGAGUGGAUCCUGAGUACGACGGAGCACGUGAAAUUCCGUCGGAAUCUGGGAGGACCAUCUCCUAAGGCUAAAUACUCUCUAGUGACCGAUAGUGAACCAGUACCGUGAGGGAAAGGUGAAAAGCACCCCGGAAGGGGAGUGAAAUAGAACCUGAAACCGUGUGCUUACAAGUAGUCAGAGCCCGUUAAUGGGUGAUGGCGUGCCUUUUGUAGAAUGAACCGGCGAGUUACGAUUUGAUGCAAGGUUAAGCAGUAAAUGUGGAGCCGUAGCGAAAGCGAGUCUGAAUAGGGCGUUUAGUAUUUGGUCGUAGACCCGAAACCAGGUGAUCUACCCUUGGUCAGGUUGAAGUUCAGGUAACACUGAAUGGAGGACCGAACCGACUUACGUUGAAAAGUGAGCGGAUGAACUGAGGGUAGCGGAGAAAUUCCAAUCGAACCUGGAGAUAGCUGGUUCUCUCCGAAAUAGCUUUAGGGCUAGCCUCAAGUGAUGAUUAUUGGAGGUAGAGCACUGUUUGGACGAGGGGCCCCUCUCGGGUUACCGAAUUCAGACAAACUCCGAAUGCCAAUUAAUUUAACUUGGGAGUCAGAACAUGGGUGAUAAGGUCCGUGUUCGAAAGGGAAACAGCCCAGACCACCAGCUAAGGUCCCAAAAUAUAUGUUAAGUGGAAAAGGAUGUGGCGUUGCCCAGACAACUAGGAUGUUGGCUUAGAAGCAGCCAUCAUUUAAAGAGUGCGUAAUAGCUCACUAGUCGAGUGACACUGCGCCGAAAAUGUACCGGGGCUAAACAUAUUACCGAAGCUGUGGAUUGUCCUUUGGACAAUGGUAGGAGAGCGUUCUAAGGGCGUUGAAGCAUGAUCGUAAGGACAUGUGGAGCGCUUAGAAGUGAGAAUGCCGGUGUGAGUAGCGAAAGACGGGUGAGAAUCCCGUCCACCGAUUGACUAAGGUUUCCAGAGGAAGGCUCGUCCGCUCUGGGUUAGUCGGGUCCUAAGCUGAGGCCGACAGGCGUAGGCGAUGGAUAACAGGUUGAUAUUCCUGUACCACCUAUAAUCGUUUUAAUCGAUGGGGGGACGCAGUAGGAUAGGCGAAGCGUGCGAUUGGAUUGCACGUCUAAGCAGUAAGGCUGAGUAUUAGGCAAAUCCGGUACUCGUUAAGGCUGAGCUGUGAUGGGGAGAAGACAUUGUGUCUUCGAGUCGUUGAUUUCACACUGCCGAGAAAAGCCUCUAGAUAGAAAAUAGGUGCCCGUACCGCAAACCGACACAGGUAGUCAAGAUGAGAAUUCUAAGGUGAGCGAGCGAACUCUCGUUAAGGAACUCGGCAAAAUGACCCCGUAACUUCGGGAGAAGGGGUGCUCUUUAGGGUUAACGCCCAGAAGAGCCGCAGUGAAUAGGCCCAAGCGACUGUUUAUCAAAAACACAGGUCUCUGCUAAACCGUAAGGUGAUGUAUAGGGGCUGACGCCUGCCCGGUGCUGGAAGGUUAAGAGGAGUGGUUAGCUUCUGCGAAGCUACGAAUCGAAGCCCCAGUAAACGGCGGCCGUAACUAUAACGGUCCUAAGGUAGCGAAAUUCCUUGUCGGGUAAGUUCCGACCCGCACGAAAGGCGUAACGAUUUGGGCACUGUCUCAACGAGAGACUCGGUGAAAUCAUAGUACCUGUGAAGAUGCAGGUUACCCGCGACAGGACGGAAAGACCCCGUGGAGCUUUACUGUAGCCUGAUAUUGAAAUUCGGCACAGCUUGUACAGGAUAGGUAGGAGCCUUUGAAACGUGAGCGCUAGCUUACGUGGAGGCGCUGGUGGGAUACUACCCUA